rnacentral:rRNA from 1 species
UAAACGGCGAAACUGCGAAUGGCUCAUUAAAUCAGUUAUCGUAUAUUUGAUAGUACCUACUACAUGGAUAACCGUGGUAAUUCUAGAGCUAAUACAUGCUUAAAAUCCCGACUUCGGAAGGGAUGUAUUUAUUAGAUUAAAAACCAAUGCCCUCCGGGGCUCACUGGUGAUUCAUAAUAACUUCUCGAAUCGCAUGGCCUUGCGCCGGCGAUGGUUCAUUCAAAUUUCUGCCCUAUCAACUUUCGACGGCUGGGUCUUGGCCAGCCGUGGUUACAACGGGUAACGGAGGGUUAGGGCUUGACCCCGGAGAAGGAGCCUGAGAAACGGCUACUACAUCCAAGGAAGGCAGCAGGCGCGCAAAUUACCCAAUCCCGACUCGGGGAGGUAGUGACAAUAAAUACUGAUACAGGGCUCUUUUGGGUCUUGUAAUCGGAAUGAGUACAAUUUAAAUCCCUUAACGAGGAACAAUUGGAGGGCAAGUCUGGUGAACACUAGUUCUGUUAUAGCUGCUAGCGCCAGAAAUAGUAGGUGGGCCGCCACGCCCUCCUGCUAGUCGAGCACCCGUCAGUCGCGGGUGGGUGCCGGCGACACAACCUGGAUCGGGGAAGGCUAAGGGCCCCGGCCUAUGCUGAUCCCGAGCGGAGCCCCUGGGGAGUGAUCCCCUGCGGGCCCGUGUAGAGCGCGCAAAGGUGUGGGCUUCUCUGUUGCACACGCGGCAGGAGGCUUAAGGGACGUGCCGUCCGCCGGGAAACCGGAUUCCUGUACCAAGCACCCGCGGUGCGAAGUACCGGACUCUCUUGCCGCAGCAGUACUGUGGCGAGGGGAGGGAGUCGAUACAAAUAGCAUGCUUACUUUUACCAAUCCUGGGGACACUCACGUUCUGACCUCGCGGGCGCGCGGACGAUGAUCUGCAGCUCAGGGGAAGGAGAGGGGGGCGAAGCUGGCAGCAGCCAUCGGCGCCCCUCGUGCCUGAGGGCGGAGUUGGGUUUCUUCUGCCUGAGCGUGAGUGGACCUGCAGACAUGCAGGCUAAACCCAAGUAUGCGGGAUCAGUAAGAUGUUGUAUUUGACGGCCAGCAGCCGCGGUAAUUCCAGCUCCAAUAGCGUAUAUUAAAGUUGUUGCAGUUAAAAAGCUCGUAGUUGAACCUUGGGCCUGGCUGGCCGGUCUGCCUCACCGCAUGCACUGGUCCGGCCGGGCCUUUCCCUCUGGGGAACCGCAUGCCCUUCACUGGGUGUGUCGGGGAACCAGGACUUUUACUGUGAAAAAAUUAGAGUGUUCAAAGCAGGCAUAUGCUCGAAUACAUUAGCAUGGAAUAAUAGAAUAGGACGUUGCGGUUCUAUUUUGUUGGUUUCUAGGACCGCCGUAAUGAUUAAUAGGGACAGUCGGGGGCAUCAGUAUUCAAUCGUCAGAGGUGAAAUUCUUGGAUCGAUUGAAGACUAACUACUGCGAAAGCAUUUGCCAAGGAUGUUUUCAUUAAUCAGGAACGAAAGUUAGGGGAUCGAAAACGAUCAGAUACCGUUGUAGUCUUAACCAUAAACUAUGCCGACUAGGGAUCGGGCGGUGUUAUUUCUUGACCCGCUCGGCACCUUACACGAAAGUAAAGUU